rnacentral:rRNA from 1 species
UGGGGAAUAUUGCACAAUGGAGGGAACUCUGAUGCAGCAACGCCGCGUGCGGGAUGACGGCCUUCGGGUUGUAAACCGCUUUCAGCCAUGACGAAGCUUUUGUGACGGUAGUGGUAGAAGAAGCACCGGCUAACUACGUGCCAGCAGCCGCGGUGAUACGUAGGGUGCGAGCGUUGUCCGGAAUUAUUGGGCGUAAAGAGCUUGUAGGCGGUUUGUCGCGUCGAAAGUGUAAACUCAGUGCUUAACGCUGAGCCUGUUUUCGAUACGGGCUGACUAGAGGAGGGUAGGGGAGAAUGGAAUUCCCGGUGGAGCGGUGGAAUGCGCAGAUAUCGGGAGGAACACCAGUGGCGAAGGCGGUUCUCUGGACCUUUCCUGACGCUGAGAAGCGAAAGCGUGGGUAGCAAACAGG